rnacentral:rRNA from 1 species
AUUGAACGCUGGCGGCAGGCCUAACACAUGCAAGUCGAGCGAGCGGCGGACGGGUGAGUAAUGUCUGGGAAACUGCCUGAUGGAGGGGGAUAACUACUGGAAACGGUAGCUAAUACCGCAUACCAUCAGAUGUGCCCAGACGGGAUUAGCUAGUCGGUGGGGUAACGGCUCACCUAGGCAACGAUCCCUAGCUGGUCUGAGAGGAUGACCAGCAACACUGGAAUGGGAACACGGUCCAGAUGCCUACGGGAGGCAGCAGUGGGGAAUAUUGCACAAUGGGCGAAAGCCUGAUGCAGCCAUGCCGGGUGUGGGAAGAAGGCCUUCGGGUUGUAAAGCACUUUCAGCGGGGAGGCGUUACCCGCAGAAGAAGCACCGGCUAACUCCGUGCCAGCCACCGCGUUAAUA